UUUAUGAUGCUGACAUAUUUCUUUUAAACUGGAAGUUCAGUUUAAAAGUUUGGAUAUAUUCAGCUUAACCAUCUUUGCAAACAUACUUCUAAGUGAACUUAUUGCACACAAUGGACAGAUUGCCUCACAGAUCCCACCAUUUUGAAAGAUUUACUGUGCUGUUGCUGUCUUGUCUUUAUGAGAAAAAAAUAGUUCUGCUGAUACACAGGACAGAGGCUGCAAAUAGACUGGAUACAUGAUUCCAUAAACAUGAAUUGAAAACUUUAUUAUCGAGAGCUGUACAAGGACCAGUGAGCUCUAGGAAAAACAGGAAAUCUUCAAUGAAACCAAAAUCUUUUUUUUUUUUGCAAUUAACAUCAAAAAGAACAAUUAUGAAACAAAAUCUA